GAGCAUUAAAGGCACAGUUUCUCAUUUCCCCAGUUAAUGUGCGUACGCAUGGGUCAGAGUUUCCGUGGAGGACCGCACAUUUUCCGGUCAAGUUCGUUUUUUAUAAAUGCCAAAGUUUGCUUAGAAAGUGGCGUACGCAUUCUUUUGUGCCUACGCAACGUUUAUAAAUGAGGCCCCUGAAGUCAAAAUCACACACAUACGCACCUUCCUUAAUUCAUUAAAGUGGAUGAAUUAAACCCCUCCUUGUGUCCUUACCGACGCACCGUGGCGACGACCACCCCCACACCUGAACCACCAUAGAGUCACCUUCAGGAGCUAGAAGUAGAAGUUGGGAGCUCCCAAUCUGUCCUUUGAGCAGGAAAACAUCCUUUGCAGAAGUAUUUUUUUGGAAAAUCUGACAUAUGUGGUCGACCUGUGGAUCAACCUCUUCCUAUUUUGCCAUGCAUUUGCCACAUCUGUAACUGUUGUCUCCUCGAACUGAGAUUUGAAAGAGCAAGGACAUUCCAUUUGCCCCUAAUCGCCUAAAAAAGAAUUUUUUUCUCGAUUUUUCCGUCUUCAUUUAUUUUUCUUGCCAUUUUUCCUUGCCUCUCCUAAUGGGUGGAGCUGGGAGCAGAUAAUAGAGCAAGUAACAGAAAAAAUAUGAGAGAAAUAAGCGAUUGGAAUGAGCCUGUUUUCUCACUGUCAUACUCAUGCUUUUUAGAAAUCAUGGGCCUGUAGUUGAUUACUUUGUUUAUGUAUGUAUGUAAAUGUGUAUGUCAUGCAUGUGUGAUCUGAAAAGACUAUGAAUACAUACAAAGUGUAUUCUGACUAUCUGCUACCACAAAGACUGUCUUCGUAAUCAUUUGGGUAGAAAUCUUCUGAAGUUUGCGGACUCAUUCGGCUCAUUCCAAUCCCUUUUUUUUCCUCCCAUUUUUUAUUUUCCUUGCUCGUGACCCAGAAAUCGAUUGAGGUCCACCAUCUUUUAGGACAUUUUAACCUGUUAAAUGUUCCUUCCAGGAGCUAGAAGUAGAAGUUGGCACUGCAGGAAUACUUUAAAAUAUUGCAUUUAUCACGACCGUUGGGAAUUUAUUAAUAUAAUUCAAAAACAGUUAAAAAGUAUUUGAAACUCAAUAUACGAUGAUCAAUGUUCUGAAAUAUCGUUCUGAACAGUUAAAUACUUAGUAUUUUAAAUAUUAAAUAUAUGGGCCACAUUCUUUUUACAGUUUAGAGAUAUUUAAGCUAUUUAGAUGCAAUUUCAUAUUCCAUGAUAUAGGAGAGAGCUGAGUCAAAAGUAAUGCUUUAUGUUCGAUCCCAUUUACUCCAAAGUUAAUCGAGAUAGAGAUCCCAUAUUUUAUGACACACAACUUGCACACAUCCUUCACUAUUGCCAACUGUAAUUUUCAUUCUAGGAUAUAUGAGUUGAACAUAAAUAGGCUGAGAAUGGAUCGUGUGCAAUGUUACUUUCGUCCCUGCCAAAAGUACUUUAAAAGAUUUAAAAUAGAAAAUUCCACGACAUCCUGGGACUACUGCGAUUACAAGUAGGGCCAUGUUAAAUCCCUUUCACCCUUCGUACUGAUAGAGGACAAAUCAAUUACCUAUAAAACCUAAACAUCUAAGCCUCUACUGUCUAAACAUACCUAAACCUAUGUCCCCUACCGUACAAAAUGUGCGUUUUUCAGACAUUCAGACAUCAGGCAGUUUUGGGAAAGUGCUUCUAUACAGAC